UUCCGGUUGAUCCUGCCGGACCUGACUGCUAUCGGAUUGAUACUAAGCCAUGCGAGUCUUUGUAGCAAUACAAGGCAGACGGCUCAGUAACACGUAGUCAAUCUAACCUAUGGACGAGGAUAACCUCGGGAAACUGAGAAUAAUACUCGAUAGAUCAUUAUGCCUGGAAUGGUUUAUGGUCCAAAUGAAUUUCGCCAUAGGGUGGGACUGCGGUCUAUCAGCUUGUUGGUGAGGUAAUGGCCCACCAUGGCUAUAACAGAUACGGGCUCUGAGAGGAGAGGCCCGGAGAUGGGUACUGAGACACGGACCCAGGCCCUAUGGGGCGCAGCAGGCGAGAAAACUUUGCAAUGUGCGAAAGCACGACAAGGUUAAUCCGAGUGGUUCCUGCUAAAGGAAUCUUUUGUUAGUCGUAACACCACUGAUGAAUAAGGGGUGGGCAAGUUCUGGUGUCAGCCGCCGCGGUAAAACCAGCACCUCAAGUGGUCAGGAGGAUUAUUGGGCCUAAAGCAUCCGUAGCCUGCUUUGUAAGUUUUCGGUUAAAUCUAUACGCUCAACGUAUGGGCUGCCGGGAAUACUGCAAAGCUAGGGAGUGGGAGAGGUAGACGGUACUCCGUAGGAAGGGGUAAAAUCCUUUGAUCUAUGGAUGACCACCUGUGGCGAAGGCGGUCUACCAGAACACGUCCGACGGUGAGGGAUGAAAGCUGGGGGAGCAAACCGGAUUAGAUACCCGGGUAGUCCCAGCUGUAAACAAUGCAAACUCAGUGAUGCAUUGGCUUGUGGCCAGUGCAGUGCCGCAGGGAAGCCGUUAAGUUUGCCGCCUGGGAAGUACGUACGCAAGUAUGAAACUUAAAGGAAUUGGCGGGGGAGCACCACAAGGGGUGAAGCCUGCGGUUCAAUUGGACUCAACGCCGGA
rnacentral:rRNA from 1 species